rnacentral:rRNA from 1 species
GAUGAACGCUGGCGGCGUGCCUAAUACAUGCAAGUCGAGCGAACGGACGAGAAGCUUGCUUCUCUGAUGUUAGCGGCGGACGGGUGAGUAACACGUGGAUAACCUACCUAUAAGACUGGGAUAACUUCGGGAAACCGGAGCUAAUACCGGAUAAUAUUUUGAACCGCAUGGUUCAAAAGUGAAAGACGGUCUCGCUGUCACUUAUAGAUGGAUCCGCGCUGCAUUAGCUAGUUGGUAAGGUAACGGCUUACCAAGGCAACGAUGCAUAGCCGACCUGAGAGGGUGAUCGGCCACACUGGAACUGAGACACGGUCCAGACUCCUACGGGAGGCAGCAGUAGGGAAUCUUCCGCAAUGGGCGAAAGCCUGACGGAGCAACGCCGCGUGAGUGAUGAAGGUCUUCGGAUCGUAAAACUCUGUUAUUAGGGAAGAACAUAUGUGUAAGUAACUGUGCACAUCGUGACGGUACCUAAUCAGAAAGCCACGGCUAACUACGUG